GAAAAUUGCGUUAUCGGAUUACUGGGCGUAAGCGCACGCAGGCGGUCUGUCAAGUCGGAUGUGAAAUCCCCGGGCUCAACCUGGGAACUGCAUUCGAAACUGGCAGGCUGGAGUCUUGUAGAGGGGGGUAGAAUUCCAGGUGUAGCGGUGAAAUGCGUAGAGAUCUGGAGGAAUACCGGUGGCGAAGGCGGCCCCCUGGACAAAGACUGACGCUCAGGUGCGAAAGCGUGGGGAGCAAACAGGAUUAGAUACCCUGGUAGUCCACGCCGUAAACGAUGUCGAUUUGGAGGUUGUGCCCUUGAGGCGUGGCUUCCGGAGCUAACGCGUUAAAUCGACCGCCUGGGGAGUACGGCCGCAAGGUUAAAACUCAAAUGAAUUGACGGGGGCCCGCACAAGCGGUGGAGCAUGUGGUUUAAUUCGAUGCAACGCGAAGAACCUUACCUGGUCUUGACAUCCACAGAACUUACCAGAGAUGCUUUGGUGCCUUCGGGAACUGUGAGACAGGUGCUGCAUGGCUGUCGUCAGCUCGUGUUGUGAAAUGUUGGGUUAAGUCCCGCAACGAGCGCAACCCUUAUCCUUUGUUGC
rnacentral:rRNA from 1 species